UAGGGGGACGAAUAACUUUUCAUGCCACCAUACCGCCAAUGACCCUUCUACCACCAUUACCAUGGCAAGUACCAAGUAACAUUACUGCACUGCCAUUGCCGCCAAUGGAGCUCCUCCAAUGUUACCUUAUUUUACAUUACCUUGUACCCAAAAAAACAGCUAUCAUACCCAUCAUUCACAUACACAGCUAAACAUGCUUGAAAGAAAAACUAUUAUGCCCUUCAACUUAGCUACUAGGAAAUUCUAUAACUGACAUUUUGCCCCAAAUUUUUUUCAGCAUCAUAGCAAGUGCAGUCAACAAGGAAAGAGCAGUUAAGUGCUUACCUUGGGACCCUUUGGAACUGUGG
rnacentral:misc_RNA from 1 species